UUUGUAAAAAAGAAAAAAAUAAAGUAAAAAAAAAAAAAAAAAAAAAAAAAAGGACAUUGCCAUUUCACUACAGGAGUCAGUCCUUGAUCUUUUCUUAAUGCUGCGAAAUGGGCCUUACUGUCUUACAUAUUAGAAUGACUUUACUGUGAUAUUAACUGAAAAGUUCAGUGGUUGUUGAGGGAUUUUUUUUUCCUUCUGUCCUACUUGAUAAGAAUGAAUGUUCCCCCUGAAAGUGUGUGGAAAAAUAGUUCACUUUACAGAGUUCUGCUGAACAAGCAGGACUGCAAUAGUCUUCCUCAAAAUUAAAUACCAACUACUCCUGCUGUUCAUAUGUGACACACUUAUUUGCAUUUGCUCUGAUCUUUUGCCCAAUUAAAAAGCAGGAACUGAAUAGGAUUUAAUUACAGGCUUAUUUAAGUUUUCUUUUACGCAGACAGUUGUGGAGUUUAUUUAUCUGAGUAAAAUUUCUGAAACGUGGUCCCUUCUGCUGCAUGUUUUCUCUUUUUAGAAAGAGAUGCCUAGCCACUGAUUUUUGGUUUGUUGGUCUUCAGUUCAUUUCCUUCUAAUGGAAGCCAACAUUUAGCAUAAUGACACCAGGCUCUCUUUGUCAUAAUGAAAAUAAUGAAUUAGAUGAUAAUGAAUUAGAUGUAGCUCUAGCAAAAUUUUUUGCAUACUGAUUUACUUUUUUCUGAGGCACUCCGAUUUAUAGAGUACUGUUUUGUGUUAAGGAAUUCUUUUUUACCAGAGUCUGAGGGACAUAAGAUUAGAUUAUGUUCAUCUUUCUACUGAUAGAUUGAGUUUUUCAUCCCUCCUCAGAAGAAACUGUUGCUUCUGACUUUUAUUAUUUUGUUAUUUUUGGAUUAUUUGGAUUUAUACAUAGAAGAUUAUUAUUUCAUCAUCCAUAAAUGGUUUUAUUUGUGGCUUAAAUAGUUCAAUUAGCAUCAAGAACAAACAUAAGUUUUCAGCUAUUUUUAAAAGGAAAAAAUUUCAAAUUAAAUUUGUAUUUGCUUUUCAUGUUGUGGUGAUUUUUUCAUUCACAGGGAGUGUGCACCAGAAAUGCUAGCCUAUGUCCACAGGACAAGUUGCCUGAUGGUGAUCAAAGAGUGGACUCAAUACGAUAAAAUUGUGUUACUAGAUGAGAUUUUUCCUAACUUCUGAUCAGGAGGUGAGGUUUUUUUUUCUAGUCCUUUCUGGCCUGCAGAAUUAGUUCUAUAGAUUUCUAGUACUAAGUGUAAGUAACUGUAGGAUUAAAUGUAAAUAAAUAUAGAAAUCAGCUUAUGUGAAAUACAAAGGAGCUUUUUAAAAACAGUGAUUGUAAAAGAAAACAAAUCUGGUUAUGAGGUGACAGUUGGGAAGCGCUUUUUUUUUAUAUUCACGUUCAAGAGAGAUUAAAGUAUUUUUGUUUGUAAAUACAUGUAUAUACUCAUAAAGAGAUGUGAAAACAGAGAAAGUAUCUUAACCACAGAAUAUGUUUCCACUGAUUUUCAUCUGUUUUCUUCAGUGACAAAUCCACAUGAUUAUCCCUGUUGGGAUUGCAGGCUAGUAUUGGUACGGAAAAACGAGCUGUUUGCCAUAUUACUUGAUAAGUUAACUCAGGUUAGUUAGCCUGGUUAUUUUGUGCAGGGGACAGGUGCUUAGCCUCUGGCAAAACUAAUAGUGAAAAAAAUCCUCUUUUAAUGUUCCCAAAACCACUCAGUGGAAUUUAAUUUGUUAUCAUUUUAAGAGAUCAAUUCUACUCUUUAUCACCAAGGAGUUCUAUGACAAUUAACCAUCCAAUUGGAUACAAUUUUGUUUCACAUUUACAUAUUUUUUUUUUCUAUUUAAGCCAGUGGUAAGUCUUGAAGGUGUUGUGUUCCAGAUGAUACAAAUAUAUUUUUCUAUUUAUAGUUUUUUAGUUUAGCUAUAGCAGAAAUGAAUGCUCAGUCCUUUGCAGGUCUUAAGUAUCCAUUUCUCUUAUGCUAGAGAAUAUACUGGCUAUAUUAGAGAAAAAAUACUUUAAACCUGAAGGAAGUGGGGACGGGAAAUACUAGAGACUGCUGUGAAAGAACAUUCACAAAUGUAUGUGGUCUUAAACAACAUCAACAAAAAACAAUAGAGAGAGGAGGAACAAAAGCCCUGUUCUUUUGCUACGUAACAAAUUAAAAAUAACCUGUUAAUUGAAUUGGCAGAUCAUCUUGGAAAGAUAACGCUUUUGUUACAGUAGUUGGUAACCUCUGGAAAAAGAAAUAGUUUCCUGGAAUUAGUUUAGAUUCUUAUCCUAACAUUCCUAAUCCAUAAGUGGCUAUUUUCUGCCUUCUGUUGUUAGUCUUCUGUAAACCCCACUUCCCUCUCAAUUUAUUUUGUUUUGACGUGUCUUGUGAUUCUGUGGUGAGAAACCUUUCACGUGCAAUGAAAAAAAUAUCUGCUGAAGUAGUCUUCUGUGCAUUCUUAAGUGCUAGAAUGUAAUGUCCUUCAUUUUGUUUUGCUGUGUUAGACUACUACGGUAUGUCAUUUGAAUACAUAAUUUUUGCAGCUAUUUUAUCCGUUUUGAACUUCUAUCUAUAUGUUAAUCUCUGCAAAUGGAUAAUCUGAAAGAAAACAGUACUUGUUUUGCAACGGUGGUGACAGAACAUUUUUGGAACUGAAGUGUAUCAUGACUAUUGGGAGUUGGAAGAGAACCUUUUGGUUUGCAGCAUGAUGCUUUGCUAUCUUCAAGCACAAGGGUAAAAUCUAUCUUUGUACAGAAGGUCAAUGUAAGUCUUGUUUACCACUUGAUCAGAAAGUCCACCAUGAUGGAAAAUAGAUAUUGCUCUGCUGACUUCAUGGGAGCAAACUAAUGUCUGAGAUUCUCUCAGAAACUUAAAGGGAUGCAGGUCUUUGAAAGUUCAAGUGGAGAACAUACUUUUAGCCCUGUCUUUUGCAUAAGACUGAAUUUUACUGCAGGCUUAUGAAUUAUCCUACAUAAAAGGCCAUCCUUCAUCAGAUUUUACCAUAUGGUUAAAACAUAUAUACAUAUUUUUUCUGUUACUUCCAGGCACUGUGAAGCAGCUGGUAUUAAUGAAUAAAAAUAGCCAGCAAAAUCAUGGCAUGUGGUUGCUGGAAGGAACAAUUUAUAGCCAGGAAUCUUGUAGGUUACUUGAAGGAAGAAGAAAGGAGCAACCCCAAAACAUGUGACCUCUGAAAACAUGGAUGAUCUCUAAGUAUAAUUUGUAUUUUGGGCACCUGUACUACUCAAGGCAACGUAAUAUGAAACUAAGUAGAAAAUAGUAAUUCAAUUCCUUCUGCUAAAAGUUAUAAGGAAGGGAAUCGAAGACUGCUGGGUGUGAUAGCUUUGAGUUUUGUUUUCAAGCAAACACUAUUGCCAUAGUUUCCUUUCAUGCUGACCACUGUAUCAAGAUAUUUGAACCUAUUGGAGAGAUUUGAAAGAGAAGCGGUUGUGCCUUUUGUCUUUCAAAAUAAAUCGGAUAUAACUUAAAGGUGUGGAUCUAAUAAACAAAACUGUGAGAUUUAGUAAUAUUUUUUUCAUAGCGCUGGGUUACAUUUUUACCUUUCUGAAAAUAAAGUGGAUCUGCCUUUAUUUACUAUAAGUAAUGACAAACUAUAAGAUUGCUCUGUUACAGAAAAUGACAUUUGCAGACUUUAGUGUUUCAUAACUAAUAGUUACCAAGCUCAGUGGAUAAGCAGCAAAUGUUAUACAUUCAUUAAGGCCUUGCUUUUUUUUUUUUUUUUUUUUUUUUUGCUUUGUUUUUCUAUGGGACAAGAAGUUGAUCAUUUAUUUUCUGUAAGGGCAGUGGUUCAAACAGUGAAAAAGCCAAUAUAGAAUGAAAAUUCUGUAGGGUGGGAAAGCUAAAAAGUAUUCUGCCAUUGUAGUGAGAAAAAUAUUGAGACUUAAUUUGCAGUGUGUAGCAGAAAUGCUAAGUUACGGCUUGAAGCAGUGAUUGAGCACCUGGGCCAACCCAGGGGAGCUCAGGUGCAUGUAAUGUACCUGAGUAAUCAGAAGGGGUGGAUCCUGGCUCCACCCCUUCCCAGACCACAUUUAAGGGUUGGCAGUGGGUGCAAGGGUAUUUUGCUCUGGAGAUUUCUGCAUACCUGAGGCCUUCUGAAGGUAAGCAGUGUUUUUCCUUCAUUUUUGCAUCCAUGGCUACUGCAUUUCAGCUUCUUCUCCUUUGCUGUAGCCAGGGACUUUGCUGCCUUACUAUUAUUGUGAUGGAAAGCACAACAAUAUAGUGUUACACAGUCAGAUGAUAACGGCUAGUGUAUUUCCUAAUUUUUCUAAGUAGUGAGCAGCAGCUGGAAAGAGGAGGGAGAGAAUAGUUCUGUAGAACUUCCAUAGAACUGGAAAGAUUAAUGUCAAAUGCAAUCUUAGGUUUCCACAGAAGGAGAGAGAUGAUGCCAAAAAAAUCAGAAUAGUAUUGUAAUAAACUUAGAAGCAGAAAGCAUUUUACAGAAAGGUGUAGUAUUCCAUCUGUCAUUUGAGUUAGGUUUAAGCUGGUGAUGAGCAGAGGUUUUUGAUCUAGAGAGAUACGCAGCAACAGUUAGUGUCUCAAAGCUAGUCAAAGAAAUUCAGAUAUAUAGCUGUAUUUUUUUUUUAAGUGGUUAUGGUUGCAAAUUGGAACAAAUUACCUAGAGGAGCAAUUGUUUCUUUGUUUUGUUUUCAUAUGUUUGAUAUAGGAGUAUCCAUGUGAAAUACAUGGGAGGGAAGGACUACACAGACUUGCACUGUGUGGACUAGGCCCACAGGAGGGACCUUCUGCAGAAUAUAUUAAUCUGCUCUCUGGCUUAUCCUGAAGAAGUUCCUAGAUUGUAUAUGGUGCACUGGCACUAUAAUGACAAAGAAAUGUGACUUGCAGAAGCAUUAAUCUCUAACCGAAUUCUUCUUCCUUAAAAGGUUGAAGGAAACAUAAGUAGGCUAAUGAUCUCAAAGAGGAGCAAUGUAUUUCCUGAUGAUGCUUGAUGGAUUUGUGAACUCCAGAAAAGCCAAUAGGAAUAAAUGUCUGGUGGUUUUGUGGCUUUAUUACAGAAAAAUUAUUGGAAUAUGGAAAUCAUAAACAGCAGUAGUUGAGGCUCUGUGAUUCUUUUGGCAGACAGGCAAUUCUAGUGAGAACUCCAGUUUCGUGAUUAUAACUCCAAAACUAUUUAAAGUCUUCUAAUUAAUUUCAAAAGACAAUGCUGCUUACUAUUGUUAAAUUUAGCUUUUAGCUUACCCACUAUUGUUGCUAAUGGCAUAUUAAAAACUUGAACAUACAUAUAUUAUUAACUGGUAUUAUCAAUUAUGCCUUUGUCUGGCAAAUAAGGAAUUCAUAAUGCAUGCAAAGUGGUCCUAAUGUACUGCUUUCAUUUUGUGCUGGAAAGGGCUGAUCACUUAUAAUUUUUGCUGACUGCCAGUAAUUUGCUGUGGAUGUCAGAUGUACUUUAUUGAGUAAAGAACAGUACUCAGGAGAGGCAUAGCUUGAUUUUAGCAAAGGACUUAUGGAGAUGGAAGAUGCUUUUAGUUAAGCUCUCUGCGAAAGUUGAUCAUAACAAAAGAUGUAAUUGCGAAGACCAAAAUAAUGACUAUGAGACUAUUAGUCUUUCUUGUAACAGGAUGCAAGACUAGCCUAGAACAAAAAAUAUCUUGUAGUUUAUAAAGAUGGAAAUAAACAACUGUGGUAGUGAGGGACUUUAAAACCUCUUAGAGAAGAAGUGUUUGCAGAAUUGCUGCAUUUUUGCUAAGCGAAUUUAAUUCCUGAGUUCCCACAUAUGAGGCUUUUCUAAUUAUACCCAGCUGAAAUUUAGCAACCAGAGCUGGCAGCUGGCAUGCUUUUUUUGUUGUUGUUGCUGGAGAAAGGUUUGGAACAUUUCAUUUUUGGAAAGUCCUUACCCAUAAACUGCAAAUUAUUCCUCAUUGUGGCUUUAAAAAAAAAAUCCUUUAUAUCAAGUAGUGUAAUGCUUCCUCUCAAUAUACUCUUGAUACUAAUUAAUUAAAUGAAGCUGCUGCAUUACAACUUGUAGUAUACAAGAUGUAUUCUAGUGGAAAAAGUGAUUCACUCAGAGGUGCAGGCUUGCAAGCUGGCUGUAGACAGCACUGAUGUUAACACAGAUGGAGCACACUGCCCAGUGGAAACUACUGGCUUGCAAGUUCUUAUUUAUAUUUAUAUUACCAUAUAUUCAUGGUACGUUACCCCUUCUUCAAAAGGACUAAUCUGAGUUAAGAGUGCUCCUUUGUGGUUCUUUCAGACUAGCACAAGCAUUCAGGAUCACAGGGUUGCUAUUUAAAGAAUAGAUCAUUAACUGGUUGAAAAUGAAAUGUGUAUAAAAUCGCACUGAUUCUCAUCAAAUGGAUGUAUGUACCAGAUCAUUGCUUACAUUUUGUCUUUCUGAAUUGGUAUUAAUUAUCUUGUUCCAUGCAGUUGCCCACAUGUGCUAGUUGCCCAAAUGUGCUGUUCUUUGUAGAAAUCAUGAACUUAAGCAUAAAAUAUUCUAUGCCUUCUUAUGCAGAAUAUUAGGAUAUAUAUAAAAAUUUCUACAUAAAAAGAUCUUAAUUUAUAUCAAUUUUCAUAAAUAUAUACACUGUUUAUACUUUUAAAGUGUGUUAACUUAAUAUCUCUCAUAUCUCUCUUCUUUGUAUUUGAUAUGCUAGAAUAUCCAUCCAGGGUGUAUGGGAUAUUAUAUCUAUUCAUGCUUUUAAACUGAUAUCUGACGUUUCAAGAUGGCAUGUACCAUAAAAUCUUACAAGAGGUGCUGUUAUGUCAAUUUGUUGAGGAUGAUAGCAGUUACAGAAAUCUCUAUAGCUAUUCUGUUCUGGCAUGCAUUGCGCAUGCCUGCUGAAAUGAGUACAGUGUAGCUCCCCCUAAAGGGAGCCAACUAGAAAGCUCGAGGGGGACUCUUUUAUCAGGAGUGUAGUAACAAGACAAAGGAUAACAGAUUUAAACUGAAAGAGAGUAGGUAUAAAUUAGAUGCAAGGAAUAAAUUCUUUACUCAGAGUGGUGAGACUGGCACAGGCUGCUUGGGGAAGCUGUGGCUGCCCCAUCCGUGGAGGUGUUCAAGGCAAGGUUGGAUGGGGCCCUGGGCAGCCUGAUCUGGUGGGGGGGGUGGCAAACAGAGGGUUGGAACUGGAUAAUCUGUAAGAUCCUUUCCAAAUCAAAUCAUUUUGUGAUUCUGUAUUUUGAUUUAACUGGGAAGCAGUCUGCCAAAAACUUACAGCUCUAUUUUCAAUACAGUAGGAGAACAGAAUACUGCAAGAUAAGAAAAUAUGAUGGUAGUAAGGCAUCCUAUGAUGAAAACUAAAUGCCAAGAACAUUUGGUAUCCUGCCCUCAGAACUAUAAGCUUUUUGAAUUCCUUUCUUCUUUCGAUGCUUGAAAGAAGUCUGAACUGUCACUGACCCCAGGAGAAAGGUCUGAGAAGUUUUGCUUAAUCUCAAUAAGUAAUGCUGGGUACACUGUAGGAACUGGUCAGAGGUUUACAUAAACAGCAUCUGGGUCUAUUAAUUUCACUAUAACAAGCACAGGGCUUUUUGUUCAUUAAAUGUUUUGGAGAACAUAUUUGUUCUAUAACAUGCAAAAUUUAAAAGCUAGCAGAAUAUGUAGUCUUUUCUGAUAGAGAAAUUUCAUACAAUUAAGAUGAUUUUAAAAGCAUGUUGUAAGGGCUUCCUAAAUUUUUAAUGACUAAUGGAAGCUUUCUCUUUUUUUUUUUAAGUUUGGAUGAGGACAAUUGAAACCGUUCCCCAGAAGGCCUUUCUUUUAAAAAGAGUUUCUUUAUAAAUUCCUCCUGUGUCUUGGUAUUAUGUAAGCUAAUGAGUCCCUGAACUAUAAUAAAUACUGGUUAGCUGACCUUUUUAAACAACAGUUCAAAUAGUUUGGUUUCAACCCAAAGCUAUUUGUAAAUUGCUCUUAUUUAUUAUUCACAUUGAGUCAAUUCAUUUUCCAUAAAAAUGAGAUUAUUAAGAUCUGACAUUAGGCUGAGAAGUAAAGAUACCAGACUCAUUACUGGUCUCACAAUGGCAGCGUAGCCCCAGUAACAUACGUAACAGUGAUAAAAUUGUAGUUUGUAUAUUCUAAGGACAUUUGUAGACUCUGAAUCUUUGCCUAUUCAUCUUUUUACAAUUUGAGACCUCUGCUUCAAAAUUCAAGAAAAUUGAAACAAAAAAACAAAACAGACUAAUAGAGUUCUAAGACAACAGUAAAGGAAAACACUAGGAACUCUCACCAAAAUUCCUUCUUAAUGUUAUAAAUAUAGUUAACUCCCUGUGGUUGGUUGGGUUGGUUUGGUUUUCUUGAUUUUUAUUUAGGGUUAAGUGACAACUAUGCCAGAAAGGAUCUGGCACUUCUGAUGGACAAGGAGAAAAUGAGUCAGGAGAUCUGGCCUUGCAUUAACAUUCCCCGGGAGCAAGUCCCGGAGAAGGCCACCAGGAUGGUCAGAGAAUGAACACAUGAAGUAUAAGGAGUGGUUGAGGGUGCUGAUUUUUUUUUUUUUUUUCCCCUGGCCUUUAAGUGAAAGCUAAAGGGAGACUUUGUUACUUUCUACAGCUAUCUAAUGGGAGGUUUUGGAGAAGACAGAGGCAGGCUUCUACUGGAGGUACACAGCAAAUAAUAGGAGGCAAAACUAUUUGCAACAAGGGGAACUGUAAUUAGGAAAAAAACAUUGUCAGAGUAGUUAAAUAAUAGAAAAAAAUUGGCUAGAGAAUAGGUGGAACUUCAUUCUUUAAGAUAUUCAAAAUGCAACUAGUCAAGGUCCUGAAUAAACUGCUUUCAAGAGAGUUGAAUCAAAUGUGCUCUGGAGGUCUGUUUCAUCCUAAAUUAUUCCAUGAACCUUGGAGGGGAAAAUGAAAGAAUGAAAGGUUUUAAUACUGGAGAAAAGACAAAAAUCUGAUUGCUCUGAUGAAAAUUAAUUGCUUGUUGUGAUGUUAAAACUUAUCCAUGAGAGAAUUUGGAUAUUUUUUUGCAGAACGUGCUUUGGGAUAAAAUUACUUUUCUUUGUUCUGAAAAAGCUGCAUGUGUAACUUUCCACCUGUAUUAGACAAGAAAAAAUAUUUCUUUGUAUUGUAUUACCUGCCUCCUCUACAGAAAAACAUCUGUUCUGUGGGAGUUACCACAUUACUGUUUCUUCAUUAAUCUUCAUUUUCCAGUGGUGGGGAAAAAAGAAAACCAACACUUUCAGGAAAAGCUAAAGAAAGAAUAUUGGAUCUCAGUUGUUUUCCUCACUGUAGCCUUUCCCUUUAAGGAGGAAAGCUAUCUUUGCAAAGUAGAAGAGGAAAGGUUUUGAGGUCAGAGAUUGCUCAGUAUUAGCAGACCUUACACUUCCUGUGAUUUACAAAAAAUAUUCUCAAAUGUAAAAUCUAGCCUUGAGCUUAAUGACUAUAGUAAACAUUGUAUUAAUCUAAAUUUUUGAAUAAAGUAAAUGUGAAAUGAUUAAGAGACAUGGCAUGUGUAGUUUCCAUGAAGUAGGAAAAAAGACAUGAGUUUAGAAUCUUGAGUUGUGGACAAAGGAAGGAAUCAGAAUCUGAAGAUGAUUUACUUUGGUUAUUGGACAUAUGAUCUUAUAUACCUGUAAUUAAAAUAUUAAGAAGUGAAUAUUUUGCUUCUUAUUUCCCACUAUAAACUCAUUCAGGAAGGGAAAGUACAGAAGUAACUCCCUUCACCUCUACUAUUUUUACAGGAAUGUGAAUAUCAAGUGUAUUUAAUGUCAGAGCCCAACUGUAUUGAAGAACUGUAUAAAGGAUGUUUUAUUUCAUUUUUCUUUGGGCCUUUUUUAUGAUUGUUUUUUUCCAGAUGCUUCCAUUCCAAAUAAAUGUCUAUGAACUUUCCUUUGGGCAGUCAGAAACCACUAAUGAGUUGUUAUAGCUGCUGUCAGACUACUACCUGUUUUCAACCAAAUUCCCAUAUUUUCUUGUUUCUUAAAAGCAUUUAAUCCCAAGCAGCACUGAAUAUUUUUUAUUUCUGAUGAAGCACUCAGCAUUGUGAAAAUCAACCUCAUAAAGAGAUCUGUAGGGCAUUACUAAUGUAUCUUCAAAAUGUCAACUAUAAACACAUUUGUGUCAUGAACAAUCAAAGACUUAGGUCUUGUACUCAUUCAUGUUAUAGAACAUGAAGCAAACCCAGGAAGACCACAUCCUAGCAUGACUACUCUAGGUUAGGAUGUAUUUUUCUUUUCUACUUAUUUCUGCUUCUUUGAAUGCCAUAAUUUGUUUCCUCAUUGGGUGGCUGACUCUGACUAACUGCUGUCAGGCAUAUGCUCUCUUCACUGCCACUUUCUUCUUGUUCCACAGACAGCUGAAUAAGUUGCAUGCCAGAAGCUUAUUGUGAGCUGGGAAGAGCAUGAAAGUGUCCUUUCUGGCUUUAUUUCAAUGUUUUAGCCAGAUCCUGAUGUUGGGUGGAACCCGGAAAGUAUUCACAUAGAAAAACAAUUAAGAAAAUACCAUGAACAGUAUUAAUUUGAUUUUAUUUUCUUAUGUGAAUUUAUCUGACUCAUUUCAGCAAUGUUUAUUUCAAAGACUCAAAUACUUAUUUUUUUUUCCCUUAAACUGGAUAAUGAAAAUAUUCCACUUGCCUUUUUUUUUUUGUAGGUACUAACCAAGCUGGAAGUAAAAACAAAUUAAUUCCUUAAAUUCAGUAGGAGGAAAUAGGUUUCAGAGUAAUGAAACUGGUUCUGUGUUGUAAAUAUUGUUCCCUCUUGCUGCAUAUAAUAUAGGUUGUUUUUUAUUUGUAACAAAAAAGCUAACAAUAAUUAUUCUAUGUUAAUCCAUGCUUUAAUAAAUGCCAUGUAUACUUAUUGUUACAGGUGAAUUGAUAGCUUUCAAGAUAAAUCAAACAGCUCUAACUAUGGUCAACCAGGAAUGAUAAAUAAUGCACAUAGAUAGCCUUUCUUCACUGGAGAACUGAAGGUUGCAUUUUGCUUAAGGAUAUUUCUCUUGAAACAGGAAGUUUGGUACAGCUACAGGGUGGUGCUGAUUCUAUCCCCUUGGCAAAGAUUUGCAUCUGAGCUGUUGCACUGAUGUGUUUGAUGCAGUUGUGCUGAUGAGAGCUGUGUUGAUGUAGAAGAUCAUGUAUCUCUGAUAAAUAUAUGCUCAGCUUUCCCCUGCCAUUUUUACCUGCAACUCUUCAAGAAGUUUUCUUGGAGACUGCUGAUUACAGACUUGAUUAAGUUGUCACACUGGUUGGCAGUUAUCUACCAGAGAUUAACCUUACUCCCUUUAUGUGGAAGAAGUUACGUUUUGAGAGCUGAAUAGGAACCACAUGAAGAAGGCAGAUAUAAAUGUUCGUAAUACAAAUCUGCAAUGCUGUUUUUGCUGACCUUUCCUCCCCCUUCCCCAGUCAGGCCAGCCCUCAAGAGUCCCUGACCAAGGAGACCAGGAAGAAAGUCUGGAGUAAGGAAGAGUUUCCCUUGGUUAAGAAGGAUCAGAUUAGUGAUGAUUCAGGUAAACUUGACAUCCACAAGUCCAUGGGCCCUGAUAGAAUGCAUCCAUGAGUGCUGAGAUAGCUGGUGGACUACAUUACCAGGCCACUCUUGAUCAUCUUUAGAAGGUAAUGGCCAUCAGAAGAGAUGCAUGAAGUCUGGAAGAAAGCAAAUGUGACCCUCGUCAUCAAAGGGCAAGAAGGAAGACUCACAAAACUACAGGCCAGUCAGCCUCAUCUCAGUCCCUGGAAAGGGGGGUGGAACAGUCAUCCUGGAGGCCAUCUCUGAGCGUGUAGAAGACAAGAAGGUGAUCAGGAGUAGUCAGCACAGAUUUAUCAAAGGGAAAUCAUGCUUAACCAAACUGAUUCCGCUUCUAUGAUAGGAUAACUGGUUGCAUAGAUAAGGGGAGAGCAGUGGAUGUUGUCUACCUUGACUUCAGCAAGGUUUUUGAUACUGCCUCCUAUACUAUCCUCAUAUUGUGAUGGACAGUGUGUUGACCAUGAGUCAGCCACGUGCCUUUGUGGCCAAGAAGGCCAUUGGUAUCUGAGUUGCAUUAGAGCAUUGCCCUCAGGUUGAGGGAGGUGAUCCUCCCACUCUACUCAGUCCUGGUGAGGCCUCGCCUAGAGUACUGUGUACAGUUCUGGGCUUCCCAGUGCAAGAUAUGGACAUACUGGAGAGAGUCCUGUUGAGGGCAACUAAAACAAUUAAAGGACUGUAGCACUUCUGCUAGGAGGAAAUACUGAGGGACCUGGACCUGUACAGCUUAGAGAAGGCUCUGGGGGAGUAUCAUCAAUGUGUAUCUGAAGGGAGGUAGUCAAGAGGAUGGUCUCCCACUGACUCUUCUCAGUGUGGUGCACAGUGAUAAGGCAAGAAGAAACAGGCACGGACUGAAACACAGAGAAGUUCUGGCUGGAGAAGUAAAAGCUUCUUUACUGUAAUGGUAACUGAGCACUGGAAGAGACUGCCCAGAGAAGCUGUGGAAGCUCCUUCCCUGGGAUCUUCAAAAGCAGCCUUUACACAAUCCUAGGUGAUGUGCUCCAGGGAACCAAGCUUGAGCAGAGAGGUUGGACUAGUUUAUCUCCAGAGGUUCUUUCCAGCCUCAGAAGUAAAGAAAAAAAUAUGAUAGAAAUAUCUCAGUUACAAUAUCAAUAAUGUCCAUGAAGUAUUGUAUUCUUGCAUUUAUCUUUGCAAAAGCGAUGCUCAGGUAGAGCUUUGCAUUCACACUUCAUGAAAAUGUUUGUUAACAGCUCUUGAAUUCAAGCAUCUGGGUGCAGAUAAUUGCCUCUAGGCCAGUACUACCCUUUGGAUUUGGAGAUAUUUCGAAGUAUUGAAUGCUAAAUCGUUGACUCAGAUGACUAUAAGUUUUCUCAGUCAGUUUUUAUGGAUAAGAGAGCUCUGGAGAAGAAGUAGAACAUGCUGAACAGAGAAUGAAGCUUAUUCAUGAGCAGGAGACUGAAGAAAUGUGUAUGGUUAUUCUACUCUCAGAAAAGGAUCCGAAGUGGAAAUGAGAGAUAGUGAGGUCAUCAAAGGAGAAAGUUGUGAAGACUGCACUGGGGAUGAUGGUGUAUAGAGACAGAAGGUGAGAUAAAGGUUUCUGGGGAAAUCUAGGCUCUGAGAAGCCACAAGCUUAAAAGGAAUACACAGAACUUGUACUAGUGCUCCUUAACUCAUUGACUCAUUUUGACUGCUGUGAUCUGCCACCUGGGAAAUGGUACGUUUCAUCUUUUAUUGGAACAGACAAAUUCAGUUUGAAGAAAUUGAGUAAAUUAUAAGUUAUCUCAUUAAAAAGGAGUCUUUGAGGUGUUAUCUUUUUGCUAGUUUUCUUUUGAACUUUGUGGCCUUGGAUGAUAUUUUAGAAACUGCCUGGUUCUAUUUCCAAAUUAAGAAAUAUGUUCACCUUUCUAUUUAGGAAAUGGGUAGUGAAUCUAUCUCAGUGAUUAGCACUGAUGCACUGAUUUCAGUGAUUAUGCUGUCGUUGUCUUAGCUCUUGUGCUGUUUUGAACAUGUAAGGCACUGAGGGGAGAUUACUAGUUUUCUGGACGUCAAAGGUCACAACUCAGAAAGAUGAAAACAAUUUUGCAAGUCAGGUCUGGCUCCAGACUCUGCGAAGGCUAGGUAGAGUUCUUUGAGUUUAAGCCUAGGCUCUGACAGUGAACAGGAUGUAAGCCAAGAGCAAAUUCGCUGAGCACAAUGGGACAAUGGUUAUAAAAAAAGAGGUCAAGUGAGAGAAGAUUUAAGAUAUUUUCAUUUAAGUAAAGCAAUACAAUUCUUUCUUGAAGUGCUUAGAUGUAUUGUUUUUAUGCAGAAUGGAUGCUUAUUUUCUUUUUUCAGUUUUCUCAUCUUCAUGACUGCAAAAAGUCCAUUUCAUCCCAUAUUAAUUCUCUAUUAAAAAUUCUGCUUCGUUGCAGAUGAGUCUUGUGAAUCUGGAUGUUUUAUAUAUUUAACAUAGUACUACAAGAAGAGCAACGCAGCUUAUUUCAUAAUAGCAAUUUUAAAAUCUAUUUCUAAUUUAUUUAUCCUACCACAAAACAUUUUAACUAUUUUAGAAUAAUAGAAUAAUAUUUUAGAUUAAUGGAAUGACAUGAUUAUUUAUAACAAAGGUAGAGUCUAAGCUCAGGCACAUUUAGUAACACAUAUGAUUAAAUAUAUGAACAUGAAUUCUUUUUUGUCUUCAGUAUCACAGACUUACUUUAAGCAUAAGGAGAGGCUAUGCGAGAAGAG
rnacentral:lncRNA from 1 species